rnacentral:lncRNA from 1 species
CCCUUCAUCCCCAACCCCAACGACCUUAAAUAGCAUCUCAUCCCCAGGGACUCGUCCAGUAAUCGAAUUACGCUCCCGAGAGGGCUCUUCAAUCCAAUUACGAGCAAUCAUCUUUUGUAGUGCAAUAGUGUGCAUACCGUUGAUUUGUUUUUAUAUAUUUUAAACACCGUGUUGAAACUUGAUACCAAACGUGAUAGUGCCUGAUAGACCGGGAGUUACUUUCAUUACUUAAUGCGUGUUUAUACAAAUCCUUCUCGCACACGUGACUCCUUCGCAAUUUCUGAAUUUUCUCUGAUCGAGCGUUCGAGUAUAGAAUCAAGCAAAAAAAGACUGAAUAACUUCAAAUUUAGUGGAUCGCAUAAACUAUGAUACAUCUCUGCAAUCAACGUCCGUAUUUGAAAUUUAGUACUGUUAAAAUUUCAAACUUAGAGAAUAAUAGAUCAUUUUGAUAAUAAGCAUUCGCCUUCGAAUCAGUGAAUUUGUAUGCUCUUAAAUACGGAAAUUCCGAGAGUUGCCCGUUCGAUAAGAAUGACGAAUAGCAAUCCAGAGGUAUUGUACAACCUUCAUCAUACAGGGAACGGAAACCACGCGCAUCGAUCGAGUAAGGUUGUAUCCACUCAGGCGGACUCAUCCUCGGGCACUCCACCCACAUGUUUAAGUUUGCAUGGAGUAAAACCUGGCCCAUUAAUUUUGGCGGGACAGUACGGGACCAGUAUUUCACAAACGCCUCGGGGGACCUAAGUGAGGAUGAGUUACCAAGCUGCGCCUACGCAAGUCGGUCCGCCCACCACGUUUCGCCUUACAUCGACGUCCAUGACCGCGAAGACGGUGUUUUGGUGGCCGGCGAAUCGGAGCAUUUUUCGGGAGCAACGGGAGCCCCUACCGAGUGCAGCGGCAUGCAGCCAACAUUAGGGAAAGGAAGAGGAUGUUAAGGUCAGCAGAAACCUCCAACUCGCUUCGUCCAAGUCGCGCCAACUCAGAGCGACCUCCUGUCAAAAUCAGCAUCAACUCGGCGUUCGAUGAACUCAGAGGUCACGUGCCCACAUUUCCGUACGAGAAACGGUUGAGCAAGAUCGACACUCUUCGCCUGGCCAUUGCCUACAUUGCUCUCCUACGGGAAGUCCUCAACGCAGACUGUGAUCCGCUAACGUACGUGGAGAAGUGUCUUCGAGGAGACCGCCACGCCGAUUGGAACACAAGCGAUCUCACAGCUCGUUUAUCAUGGAUAAAUUGGGAAAACCUUGGAGUGACACCCGGCCGAAGAGGAGUUUUGACAUCAUCAGCAUCACUGCCUGACAAUAUUCAUAUCUGA